AGAUGUGCGGCGGGCUCCCCUCACGGGCGCCCCGGCAGCGGCCCCGGCAGGGCAGAGCGGGCCGAGGCGGAUCCCUGUGCGGGACAGCGCCUUCGCUUCUGCUUCGGCUUCCGGACCGUGAGGGGCGAUCCGCGUUAGGCCCCUUCCGCAGCCGAGCGUGAAAACCAGUCGUGUCUGUGCGGACGCUGAUGGAACUGAGUGGUUUUAACCGCGGAGCGGCCGGUAGCCAUAACCCUUGCAGUGACCUGGGGAUAAGGAGUAUAAAAGCCUGAUUCGGUGUGAGCGUCAGGCCGGUGACAAAAUGGCCACCGCAGACGGCGUGUGGGCGGUGUUGGGCGGCCCUGGCGACAUGGCGGUUCCCAUCGCGGGCGUCGUGCAGGAGUGAGCUUACACACCGCCUUUUGAUACGGCAACGGACUGUAGCAAGUGACUUUGCUGUUUCACACUCGUCCUAAAUAAAUAAGCACAUUGUCAUUUGUGUCCAGAGGAAACCUGUAUCAAAAUCCUGUGACCGCUGGGCUAGUGGGCAACUGACUUGUGUCUCAGUGAAGUGCAGGGUCCCCCGGCCUGCUGAUCUGCCAGAACUGUGCUUACCAAAGCAGAGUUACAGGGAAGAUUGUUGUGGUUCAAGCGGAGCGUGUGUUCACAACACCCUAUGAAACAAAGCUUUUGGAGGCAAUAACUCCAGAGCAGGUUAAUUUUUCUGCUAUUACAGAAUUUGGAUAAUUUAUUUGCAGUGACUGGAUCUACAAAUAGUUAUGCCUGGAGAUCCUGAAGAGUACAUGGCAUAAGCUGGCAGGUGGUACAGCAAAAGAUUUGCAUCAAGAUAAUUUCUCCAUUUCUGCCAUCCUCAUCUGCUGUCAUUCAGGUGCUAUAACCUGUUUCCUUAAACAGCAUUAUUGUGAAGUGUAUAUUUAUCUGUAUCACCAUGAGGUGAUAACGUGUGCUUCACUGUGCUCUAUUUAACUAGAACAUAUUCUUUUGAAAUCUUAGAUAGUUGUACUGCUUUUAUGGGUUUAAAAUUACAGCACUAACAUCUAUUUUGUGUUUUGUAAUUUGCAAUUAAGCUGUAUUUUACCUAGAUAUGAGACAGCAUAUUUAUUAUCACAAUUUUUAUCUAAACUAAAAUUAUGUAAUAUAGGUAACAUAGCAAUACUUCAUAUGGUAUGCAUGUUACCUUAUGCAUAAUUCUUAUAGUAAGGAUACUGAGGUUGUAAUUUAUUUUAUUUAAUAAACUCAGAUACUGAGUCAAGCAAAAGAUGCUCCGAAUACCUUAAAGCUGUUACAAAACCAGAGAGAAUAUAAACUUCAGAAGGAAUUUCAAAAUAGAAAAAAAUUAAAAGUGGUGUUUGAGGGGUAUUAUAAUUAGGAGGGAAAGUAUUUUUUAAAUAAUAAAAAUAAGGAACUACUGCAUUUGAUAAGUAUUUAAUGAAACCAACUGUAUCUGUAUAUAGUUGAAAGUCUGAUCCUCAGAAACUACUGAGUGGUUCUCUUCAAACUAAAAAUGGAAAAAAAUGUGACAGCCUGAGAACAAGCAUGAUAAGUAUUGGUCUAGAGAUAAUUGCUUAGAAAAGUUAUUUUAAGCUAAUGAGAAGUUCAUAAAAGAAAAGUGCCAUUUCAACCAAAUAAGUGUAAUAAUAUCAGCUAAUGUGGAAACACAUUCUGGGAAGAAAAAAUAAGCAUUGCAAAGCCUGGAAUGGCCAAUAUGGAAUACAGAAAUGUGUCCAAGUGAGUAAGCAUCAAAUGAAGGAUUAUCCCUACUUGUGGAGAAUCCAUUCCAGCAAGUAAUUGAACCAUGGACUACUGCAUCUCAAAUUUGUAGGACUCCCCAGAGAGCUAAAAGGGACUCUGCAGAUUCUGUCAUCAGUAUGCCAAAAAUCUCUGCUCUGUACUGUAGUGCUUAAAAGUAAGUGUUUCCCAGAUUUCCAUUUUUAAAUGACUUCUUUCAGAAUUCUGAUCAAACCUUGGUGUUCUGAGUUUUUAAAGGUACAGUGAGGUUCUCUUUGUAUUGUUUUGCAUGUGAAUGCAAGAAAUAAAUUCUGAUUAAGGUUCUAAAAUUAGACCAAAAAUGUUGUUAUGCUCUGAAACAGCUUGAAAGGUAAACAGAAUGCUAUCAAGUGUGCAGGCUAUCCACAGAAAAAGAGAGAGGAUAAGCAUUUAAGGAGAAAUAUUUUGUUCUGUACUUAGCUUGAAGUGAAAAGAUACUAUGCCAAGCAAGUAACAGAAAGAUAGCUAGGUGUACAAAACUAGGUGGCAGGGCACUGGGGAAGUGUGCAGGAUGAGCUUCUGAGACUGCUGAAUAAAGAUGUUAGGUACAAAUUAGAGCUGGUUUUGUAGUGAAGGGUCUGCCAAAACCAUGAUGCUAGAAUAUAUUGAUGCAGGAACAUCCUAUGUAUAUUACAUAUAUCUCAAACAACUCCUAGAACAUCAUGCUAGACCACACAACUAUCUUUUACUAGGAUGCCUGUUUUGUUUGGAAAAGGGUUGCAUAUGAGAUUCUGUCUCUGAACUUGAGAGGUAAUGUGAUCUGUAGAAUCAAUACUUCACAUUUUACUGUUUUUUUUUAACUUUGUCUUUUGUAUUUUUCCUGCCACACAUUCAGAUGGAAAGCGUACUACAUUGUGUUAGACUUCUCAUACCAUCAGGAAACCUGUGACACAUUUUUAAAUUUAUUUUAGAAACUCAGUUCUCUCUUAAACACUGUUCAUUGAUUCAUUUUGCAAGCUUUCUUAACUUGAUUUUGAUUUGAUCCUUUGUAAACUGCAUAAAGAUAGUGGAUUAGGGUUUAUCAUACACAAAAUUAUGUAGAAUCAAGAGAUUUUAGCAGGAUCUGCCAGCAACCAGAACUGUGCAGCCAAGUCCAGUUAAGAUAUGGUUAAAUUGUUUUUGCCAAUCUUGAAUAAAAAACACUGUUGUAAAACUGACAACAACAAGAAACAUAAGCACAUAUUUAAGUCAAUGAAAACUAAUUGGAUGAGCUCUCUGUGAUCAAAUUCAAUGUGAUUUGGUUGUAUAUCUGGAAAGGAAGCUUCAUGUUUAUGAAAGCUAGAUUUCAGGUGACACUGCAAUGAAUUGAAACACAUCUCUGCCAGUGCUUCUUGACCUAGUGAAAUAGAAAGAUUUUUCUUUUUGUUUGUUCUAUAAUAAAUGGCUGAGUGUGUGUGUGUGAUAACACUGUAUAAACCGUAUUGAUUUGUGGAAUGUUAAACACACUGUCUAGAUAAGAGUUUUCCUUAUUUCAAGCAACAAAGAAGUAUUCAUAAUUUUAUCUUUGGGUGGAUUUACAGUCACUUCUGUAGGCUUGAUCCCCCUAGACCUUCAGUGAUAGAAAUCAGUUGAAGUCAAUCUAUGUGAGCAAAUCUAUUCCAAAGAAGUCCUAAAGCCACCAUGUAUAGGGUAGUUUUAUAUUGUAUUCUGUAGGAAUAAAUGUGAACUUGCUCUGUCUCUGUAUUGAGCCUGCUGGACCCUGUUGGAACACAAUGAACAUGGUAACAGUUUGAGCUAGCAGAGGCAAACCCAAGGCUGGUUAUAGCUCCGUGGAAGGGUGUACAGUGAUGCUCUGUGAAAUCGAUUUUGUUAGGUGGGUUCUUUCAUUUUGGGCAGAAGAAUGAGCAGUCAAGCUGCUUGAUAUGCAGACUCCACAUUUAGCUUCAUAAAAAAAUAUAAUUAAUCAUAAUUAUGAAUAUGUAUAUAGAAGGAAAACAGCUAGGAGUAGAGGAUCCUUUAGUUAUUAGAUAAAAGCAUAAAAUCCAAUCCAUAAAAUCAUUCCAAAAUGGAAGGCAGAUUAAUAUAUUAAUUAUGUACUUCAGAAAUUGUAUUAAUUAUAUUUUGGAACAAUAUAUCUAGGGUAAGAGGAAUAUUCUAUCCUAUCUAAAUUCUUUAAUUGCUAUUUUUCCUGUAUUCUUAUGCACAAUAUCUGAUCUAGGAGUUAUUAACUAAGACCUAUGACUUUUGAUUUGAAGCAGAUCAGAAUUGUUCACAGAGGCAGUACUUUACACUUUCUGAUCUUCCUGGCAAGACUUCUUGCUCUGAAUUUCAUUGUUAGAAAUCUCAUUAGCCAGCCAUGGGAAACAGGGAGGGAAGAAAUAAGGCAUUUCUUGUUCCCUCCUCAUAUAAGAGAAAUUAAAGUCAAAUGUGUAAAGUCAAAUAGUAAAAAAAAAUUCUGAGUCUUUGAAACAAGGAAACUCUGUGUCAACACUCCACUCUAAAAGCAGGAGAGCAAAAUGUAAAACCCUAAACCAAGUCUAAAUUUGCCAUGAUUUGCAAAGAAAAUAAACUCUUCUCGAAGGUAGAUAAAUGAUAAUGAGUGUACCAUAGCCCUCAUGGUAAUAUUGUAGUUUUGAAUCAGGUUAUUAGGUUUAUCUUCAAAUUAAUUCUGUAUUCAGGGGAGUCUCAAUAGAGACUCCGUAGUCUCAGGAGUUCACUAAGAUGUUGGGUGCUCAGGUAAACUUGUAAACUCCAGGAAGCUUGUCCAUACACCCCAAAUUUGAUACUUUACUAAAACUUUCAUUCAAGAGAUACUGAUAUUAGAGGUAAUCUUUAGCAAAUGCAAAAAUACUGAACAAUUAUUAUCAGUGGCCCUAAGAUGACACUUUAUUUCAAGAAAUGCCAUUUGCGGAUUUGCAGAUGGUAACUCAGUAUCUCAGAUAUGCUAUUUGCUAGUAGCAGAGGCAGCACUGCAACAGGCAUGACUUAACUUAUAGGAUCAGUUUUUGUUAAGUAUUGAGUUCCAUGACAUAAUCAUAAAUUUGCAAUCAAAAAGUACGAGACCAUAAAAUCAGUUGUUGUAGUUGGAAAAUCUGAUUUAAGUGUCAGAAUGAACUGUUGUUUAUGUAACUAAUUGAAGGAAAAGGCAACAAAAUUAAUUCUUACCUAUUUUUCUGUUAAAUAGAUCUAGUUCAGGAACUCCAGGAUAUUUACCUCAGUAAUAUGAUACUAUCUUCCAGUUAUUGAAUUUAAACUUUUGGACCAAGUACAUAAUACUUGUUUUUCGUUCAAUUACGGUAUUAAAUUCUAUUUAUUAGGUGUAUAUUAUUUAAUUAGAAAAAUUACUGAAAUGAACUAAAGUACCUGUUAAUAAUUACAUUUGAAAACCUAUACCCUCUCAGUGCCAAAAUCCCUCUAACUGCCUUCUGCCCUCAGUAUUUAUUGUGUGCUUACUGUGGAGUCUCGCCUUGCUUGGGAAGUUCCCUGCAUUUUGAUGCAAACUUUUUCCAGUAUCUCAAAAAAUUGCAUUUUCUGUGGUCACUGUGGGUUAACAGAAGACAACUGUCUGCCAACUGGAUUUAAAUGAUUUCAAGUGCACAAGUCUGCCUUAUAAGCAAAAAUCUUUACCCAUUUAAAUGUCUAGAGAAGUUAAUUAAAAACUGUAGAAUGUGCAAAGGACUAUACAGACAAUUAAUUGCUAAAAUAAUUGUAAUGAUGCACAAUUCUACAAUUGCCCUUUUCUCUCUGCUGAAGGACACUGUGAGAAGGCAAAUCUCUGCCUGACAGAUUCUGAUGAGAGUUUUUGUUAAUUACACUUAAAUUACAAAGGGCACCACUUCUAUAUAAAAACUGUGCAUUGCUUCCAUUAUAGUUGGACAUUUGCAUGAAACCACAAAUAGUUUCCUUGCUUAUCUGUGUUCCUGGCUUGAGACCAAUUGCUUUCUUGCCUUUUACUAGUUGCAGCAUAAUCUAAAAUAGAGGAUGAAUAAAAUAAUUGAUCAAGA